AGGACGAGGGGUCAGCGCGAACCUUUUUCUCUCGUGGUGAGACGGCCCACUUCACUAUCCAUUUCUAGACUAGUCCACUCCCUUUCUCUUCCGCCCCGACCACACAAAUCGAUUCCACCCCGACCAGAUCGCCGGCGAAGGUGUGUGCAGCGGCCAGCCCGUGGAUCUCGGCGGCAUGCCGGUAGUUGGAGAAAGCGUAGCCGCUUGAGGAUGCGGGGCACGGAAGGGGGAGGAGCAGAGCCGUCUCCGACGCGGCGCUGUCGAAGGGGCGGGCGCAGAGGGGGAUAGCGGCAGCGGUCGCCGGUGAGGGUGUUGCGGCAGCCUGUCCACGGAUCUCGGCGAUGGCGCCAGCUCGAGAAAGUCGCGGCGCUCGAGGAUGCGUGGCGCGGAGGGAGAGAGCAGCAGCGAUCUGACGCCGCCGCCGUCGCCGCCGCGGCGCUUCAGCGUCGGCAUGUGGCGGAGGUCAACCAGGAGGUGGACGACGCCCUGCCGCUUGCAGUCGAGCUGCUCGUCGACGGGGACGCCGUCUUCUUUCCUGCAAUGUGCCGAAGGGGAACUGCUCGCCGGGAGUCACCCAUGGCCAGGUAUUCCGUUCACCUUGCGGCGGUGGCUUGGUCAAACCUUUUCGCGGCUUUGCCACUCUCUCCGGCCGGAUCUUGAUCUUGAUGCACAACCAGGAGGUGAACUAGGAUUUCUUUUUCUUUCCACGGAUUCCACAGCAUCUUGAUCGAUUCACUAGCUAAGCAAAAAGACUACUCGUUCUUGUAGGCAAGUGCCCAGAAUGGGUAGAUGCAUUUUGAUAUGCAAUUUUUUA